GAGUUUGAUCAUGGCUCAGAGUGAACGCUGGCGGCAUGCCUAACACAUGCAAGUCGAACGGUAACAGGCCCGCAAGGGUGCUGACGAGUGGCGGACGGGUGAGGAAUACAUCGGAAUUUGCCCAAUCGUGGGGGAUAACGUAGGGAAACUUACGCUAAUACCGCAUACGACGGUGACGUGAAAGCGGGGGAUCAGCAAUGACCUCGCGCGGAUGGAUAAGCCGAUGUCGGAUUAGCUAGUUGGCGGGGUAAAGGCCCACCAAGGCGACGAUCCGUAGCUGGUCUGAGAGGAUGAUCAGCCACACUGGGACUGAGACACGGCCCAGACUCCUACGGGAGGCAGCAGUGGGGAAUAUUGGACAAUGGGGCAACCCUGAUCCAGCAAUGCCGCGUGUGUGAAGAAGGCCUUCGGUU
rnacentral:rRNA from 1 species